AUUUCAGUUUUUCAUCUUAUGAGUUACAGUGAAGUAGAACUGGUGCAACUGAAUUAGCACCUGAGAAUUUGUUGAAUUGAGCAGAGUUUCUUGAACCACAUCUCUGAAAUCUAUAGUGCUCUAUCUGUAAUAGUAAACAAUACCUUUUCAUGCUGCUAAGAAAUGCUCACCAUGGACUUUUAUCAUCUCAAACUGAACAAGUGACUUUGUGUUAGGUCAUGGUUGUUUUGUGAGCAUUAUAAACUGGUUUGGACAGGAUCUGUAUCUGAUCAAGAAAAAUCUCCUGUGAAGGCAGGUCUUGGAUGGGAUCCAAUGAACAAUCAAAGUUAUGUAUUUGUAGCAGUCAAAUUAGCAGAUGAUCGAUGCUUUAGCUUCAUAACUUUAGCUCAAGGGAAAUGGCUUCAGAAACCUCCCAAACAAAAUUAGUUUGAUAGGAAAACAAAGUAAUUCUUUGGCGUUAUACUGGCUUUAGGUCGCCCUCUUUGCUGCAGAUGAUCAUGCAACUUCCAUGUCCCAAUUGUUGGAAACUAACCACGCAAGUAUUUGAACAUCGCAAAGUGAGUGUUUAUUGAUUGUUUCACUUUUUAUUCGGAUUAAUUUGUUUUUUCGUCA